UCAGUCUCUCUUGACAUGCUUGGGAUUGACCCAGCAGUAUCAUUUGUCUCCAGAUGGACGAACAGCAGAGGUUAAUAGCCCAAGGGUAAGCCCAUGGAGGACCACACUGGAGCACAUAUCCACUCUACAGCCCCUGGAGGACCCCAGGCUGGAGCAGAUUUAUUCUGAAGGACUGGAGCCUGCGGGAAGCACGCAUGCUGGAGCAGGGAAAAAGUGUGAGGAGAAAGGAGCAACAGAGAGGAAAGACUGCAACCUGCAUUCCCCAUCCCCCUUCACUGCUUGGGGGGAAGAAGGCAGAGGAGUCAGAAGUGAGGCUGAGCCUGGGAAGAAGUUGGAAGAGUGAGAGGGAAGGUGUUUUCAGUUUUGUUUUUAUUUCUUACUAUCCUAAUCUGUUAUUAAUUGGCAAAAAAUUACAUUAAUCUUCCCCAGUUUGUCUUUUUUGCCUAUGACUGUAAUGCCCGAGCAAUCUCUCUGUCCUUAUCGUGACCCACAGUGUCUUUCAUCUUAUUUUCUCCCCUGUCUUCCUGAGGCAGCCAGCUAAGGUUAACCCACCACAAGGUACCCAGCAGGAAAUAAGCUUCCUGAGACAUGCAAGUUAGAGCCCAUCAGUAUCAUCCUUUAUCAAAUUUCCACUUAAACCAGAAUGAAUGUCUUUCAUGUAGUUGCAUGCUGACUGACUUACUGUUUCUUGCUGUCACCAAAACUAGGAACUUGCUAUUCCCUGUGUGAAGAUUCACUACAGAAGCAGAUCAAAUCUCCACUGGUCUCACUGGGGCUCCGAGAAAAUAAGUGGCCUUUUCCUGCCCACUAUUUUCAGUCUCCACUUAUAUCCACUCAUUCAGCACUCACCACAGCUGUUCAGUGAGCAUAUCCAAAAGAAACAAGCUAGCAGUUAAGAUGAAGAGUCUGUUCCAUUUUUACAUAAAGCACAAGAACAGCAGUUAAAACAGCUCAGGAUUUGUCUGGUUUUUACGUCUUUUUUGAGGCUUCUUUGAGUUCUCCACAGCACUUUCCAGGAGCCAGUGGAAAAUGAUGCCAUACCACCACUUGUUCAACCACGGACUGACAGCAAAAGUUUGUGCUGGAAGCCUUACCACCAAUUGGAUCAAUGGGUUCUGCUUUAAACUUUAUGGGGAGAGCAGGAGGAUGGAUCAUAAAGGGUAAUUGGUUCCUCUCUAUAAGUAUAUAUUAAAUUACACUGUCAAAUAUUACCAACAUAGAAAUGCCUAAUAAAACACAGAGGUUUCUAA